rnacentral:rRNA from 20 species
GGCCUGUAGAUAGAUAAUUAUAGGUUUAGCCUGCCCAGUGAGGUAUUUUAACGGCCGCAGUAGCCUGACUGUGCUAAGGUAGCGCAAUCACUUGCCUUUUAAUUGGAGGCUGGUAUGAAUGGCUGGUCGAGGGUUUAGCUGUCUCUUUUAAGGCUUUAUAGAAAUUGCUUUUAGGUGCAGAAGCCUAGAUUUUAAUGAAAGACGAGAAGACCCUAAUGUGCUUUAAUUUGAGAUUUUUAUAUUAAAAUUUAGGAUUUUUGUUGGGGAAACAUAGGAAUAUAAAAAGCUUCCUUUAUUAAAUAUUUAGUCCGCUAUUUUAGAAGCGAUUAUAGAAAAAGUAACCAUAGGGAUAAC